ensembl:misc_RNA 7SK 7SK RNA
GGAUGUGAGAGCGAUUUGACUGCAACAUCUGUCACCCUUUGACAACCAGGGAUGAUUUGGCUAGACCUGCUGAUGAGGCAGGUAUCUGCCCCACCACCACCCUGUCACUGUUUCACAUGUGGCCCUCUGGAAGACACAUGCUUGGUCCAAGAAAAUGACUUUCCACAAUAGAAGAAGCCUGGUCUUUAGUUGAGGGUGUACAAGUAACUAUUCUCCCCUGCUAGAGACUCCAGACAAUCCCUCAAGAAGUAAUACAAAUGACUCCUUCUUUACCCGGGAGACCUCGCCAGCCAAUGGAAACAUCAGUUACCACUCCUUCUCCCCAGAGUCCUUGGCAGCCAGCAGGAUUAUCAG